GUGCCAGCCGCCGCGGUAAUACGUAGGGGGCAAGCGUUAUCCGGAUUUACUGGGCGUAAAGCGGGUGUAGGCGGCCUGUCAAGUCAGAUGUGAAAUCUCCCGGCUCAACUGGGAGGGUGCAUUUGAUACUGAUGGGCUAGAGUGCAGCAGAAGAAGAUGGAAUUCCCGGUGUAGUGGUGAAAUGCGUAGAUAUCGGGAAGAACACUAGUGGCGAAGGCGGUCUUCCGGGCUGUAACUGACGCUGAGACCCGAAGGCGUGGGGAGCAAACAGGAUUAGAUACCCUGGUAGUCCACGCAGUAAACGAUGGAUACUAGGUAUGGGGAGUAUCGACCCUCUCCGUGCCGAAGCUAACGCUUUAAGUAUCCCGCCUGGGGACUACGGUCGCAAGACUAAA
rnacentral:rRNA from 1 species